rnacentral:lncRNA from 1 species
UNCAUGUAUAAAGAAAUAAACAAUUCCCAUGAUAACAUUUCAAUAUACAUAGCUUGCACGAGGACAAGCAACAGGAAUAAGUGAAACUGAACGUAACUAAACAUGUAUUCACUGUAGUUGUAAAACUUUAAAACUGAACUAUACAUAACUGAACAACUGAAAUAUUUAGUUAUUUACAUGCUCUUUUAUACAUUCAUUUACAAAUCUCUAUACAUCAAAAUGUAUCACAUGAACCCAAAAUGGUAUACCACUAGAACUCGGGUGUCCACUAGCUAGGCUGCUGGGCUCUUGCCGAGAUCCUCGGCCACACCGCUCGCGCUGGAACCUGUAUGAUUAGUGAUAUGAGAACUACUAAAAGUUCCCAGUGGGUUCGGCCGCCGAUCUCGCCGACUCACCCACUAGGUCUAUUCAGGCAUAUGUAGGCAAGAAAAGUAAACAGAUAGUAACCAACUAUAAUAUGUAACUACUAUAAUGCCUGUACAAAUCUGAAAGGAACAAUAUAUAUUAACUGAUAAAUAUGCAUGCAUGCUUUAAUUGAUGCUAUCCAAUCAAACUGGUUAACCCUUUUGGUUAACAAUAACUCACCGACGAUAUCCCAAAUAUCGGGGAGACGCAAGCUACAUCCCGACGGGACUGUCAACUGGGGGAGACGCAACCUCCUGGUCCAGUUAAGAUGACUACUUCGGAGCUCAUCGUUCAAAGAGGAGCGACCUUUCUUGAACAUAAAACUGAUGUGAGUAUGAUCUGAUCUUCCUUUAGAAGAUCCAAUGAAAGCAAUGCCACACUUUACUCUAACUAGCCCUUUAUGCUAGUUUCAUGGUUUCAUGUUUGAUGCUAACCAAAUCUCUAGUCAUAAUAUUACCAAGUUCACUAUUGUUAUAGUCCAUGCAUUCAUAGGGUUCUAUGUCCACAUACUAAUGUUCAUAGGUUCUUAAUAUUGAUAGAAAAUCAAAUAUUCAAUUAUCACUUGCAUAAUGCCAGUACCUUAUAAUGUAUGAAUACGAGUAAUUCAUAUAUAAAUAUGCUCAAUGAAAUAUCAUAAACAUAAAAUGGGAUUCAAAGAUUUCGGAUAGCACCACCCACGCUAACAGCUAGUAUCACGUCUCGUACUAUGUCAAGAAUUUCCAAUGCUGAAAUUCUGCACUUUACUUUCUCUUUGUGCAACCACUAUAAGCAUAGAACAAUUAGUUCUUAUGCUUAGAACUCUUCUAGAGUAACUAAUCUAACUCCUAAUUAUAACAUAAUUAUCUCGGUUUGUCACUUAAUCAAUUUAAUUUCAGCUUUAUCAAUCACUAAUUCCAUGCUGAAAUUUGCCUUUGUCUCACUCUUUUCCAGCUCACUCAAAAUCUGCGGUAAUACAAUAAGUGACCUUACUUCAUCCCAAUUAAAGAAGAGCAGCAACUUACUCAAUUAAGGUUUUACUUAACUCCUUCUUUAAUUUGGCUGCCUGGAAUUCCUGAAGUCACUACAGCUUCACUAAGUUUUCAAUCUUCAAUUUCUAAGUAGUCUCAGCUGAAGCUUCCACUUGGUCCCUCUGCUGCAGUCCAAGAUCAACUCUCAAUUAAUCACUAUUCCUAUGGGUUAAAUGCAUACAGGUCCUUGCAAACAUACCCAAUUGCGGAUAUAUCCCUGCAAAAUGGAAACUCCAUAAGUUGUCCCUGCAAAAGUUCAAAGUUAUGCAGAAUUGUCCCUACAGUUAACAUCCGUUAGUGAGCUGUUAAUUUUCUAACAGUGGAUUCGUGAAAUGACAAUUUUGCCCCCACAAAUAUAUCCCUCCAAAAGUCCUAACUGAUAAAUAUUUGCAAAAAUAUCCUCGCAAAAAUACAAACGGUCAUAUUUGUUCUUAUAAGUGAAAUGUCCAUUUUGCCCUCACAAAUAUAUCCCUCCAAAACCCCAAAUAAUUAAGAAAGCUGUACAUAAAUGACCCCAAAAUCCCCAAAAAUGACCCUAACGGUCAUAUUCUUCCUCUAUAAAUUUAUCACUCCAUUGCAACAUUUCAUACAUCUCAUUUUUUGUUCUUUUCUCCUUUAUUCAUACACUAUUUUUAUUCUUCUCUUAUUUUGAUCAGUUAGAUCCCAGCAAUUUUUAUUUUUUAAUCUUUUUUUUCUCCUGUAAAUUUUUAUGAUGAGUGAAAGAUCAGCGGAUUCUUCUUCGAGCAACCAAAUCCCCAAGUGUGAUUGCUUUAAAACUUGUAGAAUAUGGGUUUCAAAGCAACCGCACACUAGAGGUCGUCGGUUCUAUGGAUGUCCAAACUGGGGGGUAAAACAAUUUCUUUUGCAUUAUCUGCAGUAUUUAACCCUAACUUUUACUCAUUUACUACUUUUUAGUUUUAUACUUUACAGAGUAAUGAGCACUGUAAUUACUUUGGUUGGAUUGAUGAUUUACACCACAAUACUGUUGAUUUGAAAUACCAAGUACAAGCAUUUCAAGAAGCAGUGGAGCAUCGUAUUCAGAAGUUAGAAAAGAAAACUUUAUUUCUACUUAAGCUGCUUGUAGGUUUAGUAUUGGUUAAUAUCUUGUUUAGCUUGGCAAUGUAAUAAAAUGUGAGUGAUAAAACAGUAAUUCUUGUACUUGUUGUAAUGCAUUAGAUAGUGAGUGACAAAACAGUUUUAUUUCUACUUACAUUUUGUAGAGUAAUGAAAGCUUUGAAAAAAAUCUGUUCUACAAAGUAUCCGAAGUCAAUAUUGUUCCAUACAAACAUAAUAUCCACAUUCAAUGUUAUUCCAUACAAACAUAGUAUCCACAGCUCUUGCAUCAAGUUUCAUAUCCAUUCAAAUCAUUAUUUUGCAUACAAAUCAUCCAAGGGUCGCAAUCAUUUCAUUUCAAGUAUUAUCUAUUCAAACCAAAACAACUGCUAUUCAAGUUUCAAACCAGUACAAAAAUUGUUAUUGCAUCAAGUUCCAUUUCAAGCACCCACUCUUUCAAGCAUCAAGUAGACCAAAUUCAAAUCAAAAUAUUGCAUACAACCAUUCAGAGGCUGAUUGCACUUCAAGUACCCACCAGUUCAAGUAACUACCAAAAUAAGGCUAUCACUACAUACAUUCAAAUCUACCAACAUAAGACUGUCACUACAUCCAUUCAAAUCUACCAAAAUAAGGCUUUCACUGCCAUUGCAUGUUUGUCUAAACCAAAUCUUAAUUUUCUAGACUACCAAGUGCAUCAAUUUCAGAAAUAGUACUUCCAUCUUGAGACUGUAAGUGUCUUGAUCUCGAUGCUACCCUCUUUCCUCUACGCCUGCAGUUUUUAUAUAGUUAAUAUGGUAGUAAAGACAAUAAAUUGAAGGAAAGUGAACAUUGUUAGUCACCAUAUUACCUUUUGCCACUACUAAUACUUGUUUGAGAUGGUGGUUCAGAGUGCGGAUCCCCUGCUUGCUGAUUCUCUGCUUGAAUUGGUGCUCUAGAGUGCUGAUUACCUACUUGUGGUGGUCCUGUAGGCUGUUGAUUCCCUGCUGCAGCAGGCUGUUGAUUCGCUGCUUGAGAUGGUCCUGCAGCAGGCUGUUGAUUUGCUGCUUCAGAUGGUCCUGCAGCAGCCUGUUGAUUCACAUCGACAGGGUUCUUGCAUGUUUUUGCACGGUGGCCUAACUUAUUGCAUCUUUUGCAUCGAUGUCUCUUCCUGAUUGCCAUCUCAUCCGAUGCUCUAAUUCGCUUGUUUCGAGGUCUCCCAGCUGGCCUUUUUAAAAUAGGAGGUAAUACACGAAGACCGAUAUCAAUUUUUACCCAUUGAUCACAACUGGGUAAUGGUGCAAUGGAACUAGCAUAGGCCUCCUUAUAUUUGGCCACCGUAAAAUAUGGGUGCACAUAAUUUUCCCACUUUUCAUGUUUUAAUUUACCUAUUACUGACAUUGCAUGAAUGCAUGGCACACCUUUCACUUGCCAUAACCUGCAGCUACACUGCAUAUCAUGUAGUCUCACCUCAAACCUUGAUUGCGGUCCAAUAACUUCUGCUGAAAAUUCAUCACUCCAUAACACCUCAUAUUGACCCAAACCCUAAAAUUGUGAAGAUAGAUAGCAUAAAUCAGUGUACUGCAUUAGACUUAGCUUAAAGGUAAAGAAAAAAAUCAGUAAAGUAAACUGCAUUAGAUAGCAUAAAUUAGAUAGCAUAAAUAGGCCAAAGUAAUUAAACUAUAGCCUAAAGGUAAAGAAAAACUCAGUGUACUGCAUUAGAGAGUAUAAAUCAGUGUAUUACCUUGCUUAUAUUGUUUACAUAUUUGAGAACCGUUGGUACAAUUUCUGAAUCCCAUUUUCUUGCUCUAUUUCUUCUAUCCUCCAUCUUAACCAUUAUUUUUUGGCGGAUAGUAUCAAGCAUAUCAAUCAGUGGUCUAUGCCUAUCAUUAGAUAGCCAUGCGUUGAAUGAUUCAAAUAUAUUGUUAGUCAAGUAAUCACACUUAGCAAUGGUUCCGAAUUUACUUCGACUCCACAAAUAACUGUGGUUUUGCCGCAAGUAUUCAAAUGCCAUCGGAUUUGUUUCAUACACCUUAGCGAUGCUAGUUUCGUAAACAUUAGGUGUAUAUGCUCUUGCUGCAGCCCACAGUGAGUCUCUAUAGCAGUCCCCACGAAAUUUUUUCUUGAAAUUGGCAUAAAGAUGGCGCAUGCAUUCUCUAUGUUCAACUCUUGGAUAUACAACUUGAACGGCCUCAUCUAAGCCUUUUUGUCUAUCUGAUGAGAAUACAAGGCCUUCGAAAUCUCCUAUGGCUGUCUUCAACCCAUGAAGAAACCAUUCCCAACUAUUCGAGUUCUCCGACUCCACAACACCAAAAGCUACUGGAAAAAUUGAGGAGUUUCCGUCAAUACUUGUGGCCGAUACCAAAACUCCUCUAUGCUUUCCUUUGAGAUGGCAUCCAUCUAAUGCAAUGUAAGGUCUACAUCCAUUGAGGAAUCCUUGUAUGCAUGGACCAAAUGCAAGAAAAACUCGCUGAAAAUGAUACUCUCCGUUAAUCACUUCCAGCUUUACCUCCACGUGGCUGCCAAGAUUUCUUCUCACAAUUUCCUCUUUAAAAUCAAAGAUUCUUUGAUACGAAUACUCCCAAUGCCCAUGAAUCUUAGACAAUGCCAUUUCUUUUCCCCUAAAUAUCUUGGAGUAGGUCAAGUCCACGUGAUAUUUUUGUUGCAGUCUCUUCCGCAGUUCAGAUGUAGAUAUAUCUCCUUCCAACCGUAGCCACCCAAACAGAUUAUAACCACCAAGAUCUAUCAUCAACGAAUGCUUCUUACCAUCACAAUAUCUCAAUCCACAUGCAGUUUUUACUGUUUUAAAAUACCCAGCAUAAUUGAACUUCACUUGAAAAAAACCUUUCUCCUCCAUAUCUGGUAUCAAACUUUCACUAUAGAAACAAAAUAAAAUACAAAAUGACUAGGUAUUAUACUCGAAUGCUCUAUGAAAAUAUGUCUAUAUACUCGAAUACUCUAUGAAAAUAUGUCUAUAUACAUCUAACUUGCAGUUACCCUCAAAAGAUCACUUAUUUCAAAAUUAACCUAAAAUACAAGAAAUUGUUUCAAAAACUAACAAUCAGAUAGACCAAGUUUUGAAUUUAUACUAUGUAAUGCACUCACCUUGCUCUCAUUGAAAAAAGAAGAGCAUUACACCUCGUUGAUGAAUAUGAUGGAUAAAACCCUAGUAAUGGUAGAUCUGAAGCUAGUAUAAGGGAGUGAGAGGAAGGGGAAGAGGAAGGUGAGCAAUAAACCUCGUUGAUCUGAACCUCGUUGUUGCCCGAGGAAGACGAGCACUAAACCUUCUCGAUCGCGGGCGCACUCCUUGCAUCACUGUCGCUCUCCUCGGGCGGGCGGAACACCUGAGGGCUCUCCUGGCAGUUCCAAUCAACUAGGGUUAAGGGCCCACUAUGGUGGUUAGUUAAGUUAAUAGAAUAUAAAAUAACAUAAGAGGGGCAAAAUAGUCAAUUCACAUUAUUAACUAUUCAUGGUUAAGUAGUUUAACUCUGGUUAACAAACUUUCUCUAACAGACUCUAACAGUAGGGACAAUUCUGCAUAAAGUUGAACUUUUGCAGGGACAACUUAUGGAGUUUCCAUUUUGCAGGGAUAUAUCCGCAAUUGGAUAUGUUUGCAAGGACCUGUAUGCAUUUAACCCUAACUUUAAUUACUUAGAAUUACCUUCAAAACAAUUAACCAUAAUCAAUCAGGAAUUUAGCAUCAAUUUACCAGAAUUCGAACUUCUUCAAGGGUUUUUUCUCAGCUGCACUUACUAUGCAAUAGCUCUAAUCAUUUCAGCUCCAAAUCUGAACUUUCAGCAGCAAAACUCCAUAUAGGUCUCAUUUCUGCAGCAAUUAAUUAACUAGACCUCAUAAUAACUAAAUUUACCUUAAUUUAGAUGCUCUAGCCAAGUUGUUCAGCAACUCCAACAGCAGGAAUUCCUUGCUAGGAAAUCCCUUUCAGUUCGGACCAGCAAGGAGAUCCCUUAACGCAUCAAUUUCAUCAACCUUCCUCAGCUCGGAUCAACUUCUCUACUUGAACCAGCAAGCUACAAGGCUGCCCCACUUCUUCUUUGUUUAUUCAGCUACUAGCUAAAAUUCCUCAGCUGAUUUCUUACUUGGAUCAGCUUCUUUUCUUAUCCUCAAUCCGCAGCCCUCCAAGCUGCCAGAACUUCCUCAACUCCUCAAGCCUUUUCUUCACUACUCUGCUCCUAAGGCUGAGAGAAAAAAAGAGAGAAAAGGAAUAAAUGGAAGAGAUUAAAAAGCCUGCUGGAUACCUGGACAUGUGUACUUCAACUGAGGCUAAGAGAUAAGGAUAAAAAAAUUGCAACUUAACCCCCAAUUUCAUCAAAAGUGCAUGACAAUCCUGCAAUUUACACUUUUGUCCUUGCACUAACUAGAACCUGGCAGCAGCUGCUUUAAAGCUUAUUUUGCACAUCCAACUCACUUCAAGUCCACUCAAACACUUCCAAAUUACCCUAAUAUACCUCUACAAGUUGUCAAAUUAAUUUGGAAGUGAUAAAUUUUUAUUUUAGCAUUAUUGCGAUCAAUUUGAUCCCAAUUAGCUACAUAAUGGAAAUUCGAUAUAUUAUAAGCACCAAGUUAUUCGUGCUAUUAGUUUUUUAGUCCCUGGAUUGAGAAAUGUGCGGUUAUAAUUGAGAAAUGUGCGGUUAGAAUGAUGUGGGCCCCCUAGGGUUGAGUAAGUAGUAGGUUGAAUAGUAUAAUCUAACGGGUAAAAAUAAUCAAAGGGGUUAAUCUAACGGCAGAAAACUUGAUAGCACCAAGUGCUUGGUACUAUCGAUAGCAUAGCAGCCGGACUCUGUAUAUAUAUAUAUAUACAUAUAUAUAUAUAUAUAUGUAUAUAUAUAUAUAUACAGAGUCCGGCUGCUAUGCUAUCGAUAGUACCAAGCACUUGGUGCUAUCAAGUUUUCUGCCGUUAGAUUAACCCCUUUGAUUNAUAUAUAUAUAUAUAUAUAUAUACAUAUAUAUAUAUAUAUAUGUGUGUGUGUGUUAGUAACUGAAAUUAUAUAAAUGAGAAUAAAAAAAAGCUAUAAAGGAUCUAAAAUUGCUUACAAUACUUUCUUGUCAUUUUUUAUUCUUCGAGAAUUUGGGCGAUUUGGCUGGCUGGCACAAAAUUUAAAUACGAAAUUGAAACAAUUAAAACUUUUCAUUCUCAAGUCAAUAAAAAAAAUUAUUAUUUUUAAAAUUUUUAUAAAGUAUAUAUUUUAAAAUUCAUAUGUUAUAAUGAUUAGGACGUAACUAUCAUUACUCUCGCCACGCAACAAUACGUAUUGGUUUUCCUUGAGAGCAUUCUUUAGAUAAAAAUAGUAUACAUAUGAAUAACAGUAUAAACAAAGUGAUUAAUUCUUAACACCGAUCACGCACUCUGUGAUGGCUAAAACAACCUCAAAGACCCUAGUUGGAGCUAAGUUUUAAUUUAUUGUCCCUACUGCAGAAGUGAAACUCGUGAAAUUAAGUAUUAGAAAUUAGGAUGUUAACCGACCGUCCCUAGAGCAAGUGGCAAAAGGCUUGGUGGUUGGUACCCGAGACCUAAGUUCGAAUCCUAGUUGAUUUACAUUUCCAGCUAAGUUUAGUUCUAAAUGAAAUAAACGAAGCGGGUAGCGUGCUACCUAUCUCUCAAAAAAAAAAAAGAAGAAAGAAAUUAGGAUGUUAAUCUGCAAUGUCCAAUAAUUUAUUAUGUAAAUUUUGUGUGAUGUAUCAUCAUAUACAUCACAAAUUUUCAUUUAUGCCAAAAUGUUUAAGGACUCGUGAUUCAGAUCUCUUGGACAUCAAUUCAGGUACAAACAAUUGAUUUUAUAUAUAUAUAUAGGCUGAGAGUAUAGAGCCCUUUGUAUUCAUAAGUUUUCGAUCGUUUAGAUGAAAAAAAUAUGCGGUUAGGAUGAAAGUGGUUACGGUUAAGUUGAUAGUGGGCCCCCUAGGGUUGAGAGAGUUGUUGGUUGAAUAGUAUAAUCUAACGGGUGAAAAUGAUUAAAGGGUGGAUCUAACGGCCAAAAACUUAUGAGUAUAAUCGGCACUAUACUCAUAAGAGUAUAGUAGCCGGACUCUAUAUAUAUAUAUAUAUUAGUAACUAAAAUUGUAUAAAUGUAAGUAAAAUUAUAUAUGUUAGUAACAAAAAUUGCAUAAAUUUGAAUAUGAAAAGGCUACAAAAAUCUAAAACGGCUUACAAUGGUAUCCGUAGUAAACAGGCCUCGUUGCCAUUCAUUUAUUUUCGAUAAUAGAGCCUCCAAAUCGACGAUCAGUACCGUUGAAUAUGAUCCAUACCACGUGGUAGAAACCAAAUUUCAAAAUUUUUUCGAUAUCAUUAUCCUAAUGAUCAAAGAGUUUCAAAAUUUGAUAUUUUAAUGGUUGAUAUGAGAAGUUUUCUCACUUAACGGUGUAAAGAUACCCAAAUCAAAUACUAAACGAUGUAAAACUGAAAAUGUGAGAGAAAGAGAGAUAUCAGCGUACUUUUAAUCUUAAUAGUGCUAUGAGUUAAUAUAUCGCUCUGCAUUAAUCAAACAAAUUCUAUUAAAAAUUGAUCUAAUUCGAUCGGAUGCUCUGAAAAACUUGGUAAAGCUGUUGCAGGUUCGGACAAGAAAUUAAACAAAUAAUUCAUACAUACCUGAAUUUCUUGGUAAAGCUAUUGCAGGUUCUUGUGCUCCCGUAUCAAAAUGGAAAUUGUGUGCGCCGCUGUACGAAGUCUCUCGAUGUUGGCCGCCAUCUCUAUCUCCUCUCUCUCUCGCCUGCUCUGUGCAUGAAGACUUCCGGUAUCUCAUUUCCCUCUCUCCUGCUAUCUCUCUCUAUCUCCUGGUCUCUUUCCAUUUCAAUCUCGUCUCUCUCCCCCUCUUUUGCUCUUUCUCUCCCGUGCUCUCCUUCUCUUGCUCUCUCUCUCCCGUGCUCCCCCUCUCUUUAUCUCUUUCUCCUAGUCUCUCUCUACAUACGUCUCUCUCCUCUAAUCUCUUUUGGCCCCUCGUGGUCACUCUCUUCAGGAAGCGCUCUCUCUCUUUUUUUUAAUUCAGCAACGAAGAGGAAGAGAGACCGGGACAUGUGGCGCGAAUGCAAGUUUUAUAAAGAAAUAUUUAUCUAUAUACCCCUCAAUUUUUUCAAAAUAUCUUAUGUAAUCCUUUUCUUUAUUUCAAAUUAUAUCUCUCAUUAUAUUUUUCUCGUUAUUGAAUUUUCUACCAAGUGUAUGUUGGUAAUUUAUAUGCCAAUCAUAAAAAUGCAAAAUAUAAACGUCAUAGAAGAAUAGAAUUUAUAAAUCAAUUGUGCAAUUAAUUUUUUUUAGUCAAAUCAAGAAAAAAUGAGAUUUUUUUUUAAAAAAAAACUUCAAAAAAGAAUUUAAAAAAUAUGAUUAGCGCUAUUGCUUCAAAAUGCAUUUAUUCAACAAAUUUUAAAAAAAUUAAACUCAACUAAUUAUUAAAUAUUUCUGAAUAUUUAUGAAAAUUAGUAAAGUUUAAANCCUACAUGCCUCGUUUUUUGGAAACUUAGAAGAUGAAGAUAUCACAUA